AAAUGGUUCUUCUCAUCCCUGUAAUGAGUUCAUCUCUUCUGGUCUGUGCCUCCUUUUAGAUACUGAAAGACUGCUACCAGUUGUCCCCAGAGCCUUCGCUUCUCCAGGGUGAAUAGCCCCAGUUCUCUCAUCCUGUCCUCAGAGGGGAGGUAUUCCAUCCCAUAGACUUUUCCCUUGGAAAAAUGAUUUCCUCUCCUCUCGUUUCAUCUCUGUUUUAUCCCCUUCACACAAAGAUGUCCUUGCAUACGCGCACAUGCUGCUGACAAAGGCUGGCAGGGUCCAUCAGUAUCCAUGGUGGAACAUUUGUAAAGGAUUCAAGGUGGAGUUCAG
ensembl:lncRNA